rnacentral:rRNA from 1 species
CUACGGGGUGCACCAGUGAGGAAUAUUGCACAAUGGGGGGAACCCUGAUGCAGCAACGCCGCGUGGAGGAUGACGCAUUUCGGUGUGUAAACUCCUUUUAUAUGUCAAGAAAAUGACGGUAGCAUAUGAAUAAGCACCGGCUAGCUCCGUGCCAGCAGCCGCGGUAAUACGGAGGGUGCAAGCGUUACUCGGAAUCACUGGGCGUAAAGGACGCGUAGGCGGGUUGGAAAGUCAGGUGUGAAAUCCUACAGCUUAACUGUAGAACUGCACUUGAAACUUCUAAUCUAGAGUAUGGGAGGGGGAGAUGGAAUUAGUGGUGUAGGGGUAAAAUCCGUAGAUAUCACUAGGAAUACCUAAAGCGAAGGCGAUCUCCUGGAACAUUACUGACGCUAAGGCGUGAAAGCGUGGGGAGCAAACAGGAUUAGAUACACUCGUAGUC